AUCUGGCUCAGGAUGAACGCUGGCGGCGUGCCUAAUACAUGCAAGUCGAGCGAACUGAUUAGAAGCUUGCUUCUAUGACGUUAGCGGCGGACGGGUGAGUAACACGUGGGCAACCUGCCUGUAAGACUGGGAUAACUUCGGGAAACCGAAGCUAAUACCGGAUAGGAUCUUCUCCUUCAUGGGAGAUGAUUGAAAGAUGGUUUCGGCUAUCACUUACAGAUGGGCCCGCGGUGCAUUAGCUAGUUGGUGAGGUAACGGCUCACCAAGGCAACGAUGCAUAGCCGACCUGAGAGGGUGAUCGGCCACACUGGGACUGAGACACGGCCCAGACUCCUACGGGAGGCAGCAGUAGGGAAUCUUCCGCAAUGGACGAAAGUCUGACGGAGCAACGCCGCGUGAGUGAUGAAGGCUUUCGGGUCGUAAAACUCUGUUGUUAGGGAAGAACAAGUACGAGAGUAACUGCUNGUACCUUGACGGUACCUAACCAGAAAGCCACGGCUAA
rnacentral:rRNA from 1 species